rnacentral:rRNA from 1 species
AGAGUUUGAUCCUGGCUCAGGAUGAACGCCGGCGGUGUGCCUAAUACAUGCAAGUCGAACGCGUUGGUCCAAUUGACAACUGGUGCUUGCACCGGUUAGAUUUUGGUCGCCAACGAGUGGCGGACGGGUGAGUAACACGUAGGCAACCUGCCCAGAAGCGGGGGACAACAUUUGGAAACAGAUGCUAAUACCGCAUAACAACGUUGUUCGCAUGAACAACGUUUCAAAGAUGGCCUCUGGCUAUCACUUCUGGAUGGACCUGCGGUGCAUUAGCUUGUUGGUGGGGUAAUGGCCUACCAAGGCGAUGAUGCAUAGCCGAGUUGAGAGGCUGAUCGGCCACAAUGGGACUGAGACACGGCCCAUACUCCUACGGGAGGCAGCAGUAGGGAAUCUUCCACAAUGGGCGCAAGCCUGAUGGAGCAACACCGCGUGAGUGAAGAAGGGUUUCGGCUCGUAAAGCUCUGUUGUUAAAGAAGAACAUGCGUGAGAGUAACUGUUCACGCAUUGACGGUAUUUAACCAGAAAGUCACGGCUAACUACGUGCCAGCAGCCGCGGUAAUACGUAGGUGGCAAGCGUUAUCCGGAUUUAUUGGGCGUAAAGAGAGUGCAGGCGGUUUACUAAGUCUGAUGUGAAAGCCUUCGGCUUAACCGGAGAAGGGCAUCGGAAACUGGCUAACUUGAGUGCAGAAGAGGGUAGUGGAACUCCAUGUGUAGCGGUGGAAUGCGUAGAUAUAUGGAAGAACACCAGUGGCGAAGGCGGCUACCUGGUCUGUAACUGACGCUGAGACUCGAAAGCAUGGGUAGCGAACAGGAUUAGAUACCCUGGUAGUCCAUGCCGUAAAC